rnacentral:snRNA from 1 species
GAAUUUUCACACUUCCCUUUACCGAGUUUUACUG